CCCCUUCUUCUUCCUCUUCCUGCCGCCGCCGCCUGAGUUCCCUGCUCCGCCCUCCACCGCGCCGCCCGCGCUCCACCACGAGCCGCCUCCACCUCGCCGGCCGCUCCGCCCUCGCUCCCCCCGCUGCCAAGCUCCUCCGGCCGCGCCUCUCCACCACACAGACGCCGCCUCCAUCUCCCCGUCGCCCGCGCGCCUCUUCCUCCUACGCGCCCGGCGCCUCCCCUUGCUCCUGGCCGCCUCUCCCCAUCGCUGGCGACCGACUCCCGCGCCCAGGGCUCCCCGCGCCUGCCCGCGCCUCCGCCUCUGCCUCCGCCUGGCCGCCCGCGCGCCCCGUCUCCACCGAGCGCCGCCUCCACCUCGUCGCCGCGUCCGCCUCCCUCUUCCCCUGCUCCCUUUUACUCCGGCCUCCUCUGCUGCCCAGCGCUCGUGCGCCUCAUCGCCAAGCCCAAGCCAGCCGCUUGCUGUUGCCGCUGCUGUGUUGCCAUUGCUUUGCGACGAGACGCCUCGCUGCUGCAUGUGUUGCUGCCACACAUGGUCGGCACCGUGGAGACCAACAUCGUCUCGAACCUCCAAGCCGGUCCCGUGAACCACUACUUCCCUUACGACGACUAUGUGGCCUACAUCGCCUACAUGUACGACUACUUCGACGACGUUGACUACAUCGACUACGCCGUGGUAUGCUACAAAGAGGUUCCAGCAGAGCAGGUGAGCCGCUAGCUUCUUCAUGGAGCACGACGUUGGUUUCGAU